rnacentral:rRNA from 1 species
UACGUAGGGGGCAAGCGUUGUCCGGAAUCAUUGGGCGUAAAGCGCGUGUAGGCGGCUCGAUACGUCUGCUGUGAAAGUCCAGGGCUCAACCCUGGGAUGCCGGUGGAUACUGUCGAGCUCGAGUCCGGAAGAGGCGAGUGGAAUUCCUGGUGUAGCGGUGAAAUGCGCAGAUAUCAGGAGGAACACCAAUGGCGAAGGCAGCUCGCUGGGACGUGACUGACGCUGAGACGCGAAAGCGUGGGGAGCAAACAGG